UGACUUACCUGGCAGGGGGAAUACCAUGAUCAAAAAGGUGGUUUCCCCAGGGCGAGGCUCUUCCAUUGUACAGAAACUUUAUUGUAUUGCUGUUACUAAAUGUCAGUUAAGAAAGAGUGUGGUCUUCCUGCAUGUGGACUAUGCUGUCAUUUGGAUGUGGCAAA